GACGAACGCUGGCGGCGUGCCUAAUACAUGCAAGUAGGACGCAGUUGCGAACGGGUGCGUAAAGCGUAGGUAACUACCUAUUAGAGGGGGAUAACUAUUGGAAACGAUAGCUAAUACCGCAUACUAGUAGAUGGAACUGCGUUGUAUUGGCUAGUAGGUAGGGUAAUGGCCUACCUAGGCAACGAUACAUAGCCGCCCUUGUAUGGUGAUCGGACAAACUGGUACUGAUACACGGCCCAGAAUCCUCAGGGAGUCAGCAGUAGGUAAUCUUCGGCAAUGGGGGGAACCCUGACCGAGCAACGCCGCGUGAGUGAGGAGGUUUUUCGGAUCGUAAAGCUCUGUUGUUAAGGAAGCGGUACUUAACCAGAAAGGGACGGCUAACUACGUGCCAGCCGCCGCGGUAAUAC
rnacentral:rRNA from 1 species